AUUUUUUGGCCCCCCGAGGGCCCUAGGGUUGUUUUAUCGCAGGGACCGAUGCAAGUGUGGCCGAAUUCGGCCGAAAACGGCCAACCCGAGGCGAAUCGCCGCCGCCGGAGCACGGCGGAGCCGCCAUGCCAGAAUUGCGAUAUUGGCCGAAAGGGGCCCUGGGCCUAAUUUGGGAAUUUUUGGAACACGUGCAGGUACCAGUAGUGCGUUUCAGUUCCCUGGGAAAAAUUCAGAGAAAAUUAAGGACAGCCUGUAGGCGCACUGUGAAGCCGU
rnacentral:lncRNA from 1 species